rnacentral:rRNA from 1 species
GAUGAACGCUGGCGGCGUGCCUAAUACAUGCAAGUCGAGCGAACAGACGAGGAGCUUGCUCCUCUGACGUUAGCGGCGGACGGGUGAGUAACACGUGGAUAACCUACCUAUAAGACUGGGAUAACUUCGGGAAACCGGAGCUAAUACCGGAUAACAUGUUGAACCGCAUGGUUCAACAGUGAAAGACGGUCUUGCUGUCACUUAUAGAUGGAUCCGCGCCGCAUUAGCUAGUUGGUAAGGUAACGGCUUACCAAGGCAACGAUGCGUAGCCGACCUGAGAGGGUGAUCGGCCACACUGGAACUGAGACACGGUCCAGACUCCUACGGGAGGCAGCAGUAGGGAAUCUUCCGCAAUGGGCGAAAGCCUGACGGAGCAACGCCGCGUGAGUGAAGAAGGUCUUCAGAUCGUAAAACUCUGUUAUUAGGGAAGAACAAAUGUGUAAGUAACUAUGCACGUCUUGACGGUACCUAAUCAGAAAGCCACGGCUAACUACGUG